rnacentral:rRNA from 1 species
AACCAAUACGACUGUCGGCAACGGAUAUCUAGGCUCUCGCAUCGAUGAAGAACGUAGCAAAAUGCGAUACUUGGUGUGAAUUGCAGAAUCCCGUGAAUCAUCGAGUUUUUGAACGCAAGUUGCGCCCAAAGCCACUCGGCCGAGGGCACGUCUGCCUGGGCGUCACG